AUGUCAAAGCAGCAAGACCUGACUCUGAGUCAUCCUCCAGUAGUGACAGUGAAGCUGAAAAAACAGGGGCAAAUAAAGAAGCAGAUGCUAGGCAAGGUAAACAGAGGAGACGCUCCAUUACAAGUAUCGCAAUCUGUAAAUCUUGACCUACAAACAAGGUGGCCAGUUCUAGAUCUUGAGCAUACUACACACAUCAAGAGGCGUCUGGAUAUCAAAGCACCUUCACCUGACUCUGAAUCUUCAUCAUCUAGCAGAGACAGUGAGAAGGAAAAAACUGGUCACAUAAAGAAACAGGAGCAAGGACAGACCAACAUGGUAAAGCUUCCAAUAAAAGUAUCUCAACGUAGCAUCAAAGCACCAAGACCUUACUCUGAGUCAUCUUCCAGUAGCGACAGUGAAGCUGAAACAACAGGACAAAUAAAGAAACAGGAGCAAGGGCAGACCAACAUUGCAAGCCUUCCAAUUAAAGUAUCCAAAACUGCAAGUACUGACCUACAAACACAGUGGCCAGUCCUAGAUCUUGAGCAUACAACACGCAUCAAGAGGCGUCUUGAUAUCAAAGCACCUUCACCUGACUCAGAAUCAUCAUCUAGCAGUGACAGUGAGGAUGAACAAAAUGGUCACAUAAAAAAACAGGAGCAAGGACAAGCCAACAUCACAAAGCUUCCAAUAAAGGUAUCUCAAACUAAUGUCAAAGCACCAAGACCUGACUCUGAUUCAUCUUCCAGUAGUGACAGUGAAGCUGAAACAACAAGCCAAAAAAAGAAGCAGAUGCUAGGCAAGGUGGACAGUGGAGGACACCCAUUUCAAGUAUCUCAAACUGUCCAUCCUGACCUACAAACACAGUGGCCAGUCCUAGAUCUUGAGCAUACCACACGCAUCAAGAGGCGUCUAGAUAUCAAAGCACCAUCACCAACUCUGAUAACUGGCCACUUAAAGAGACAGGAUCAAGGUCAAACCAAUGUGGGAAGGUUUCCAAUUACAGCAUGGCAGCCUAAAAUCAAAGCACAAAAACCUGGCUCUGAAUCAUCUUCCAGCAGUGACAGUGAAGCUGAAAAAACAGGUCACAUAAAGAAACAGGAGCAAGGACAGAUCAACAUGGCAGGUCUUCCAAUUAAAGUAUCUCCUACUGCAAGUACUGACCCGCAAACACAGUGGCCUGUCCUAGAUCUUGAGCAUACAACACGUAUCAAGAGGCAUCUAGAUAUCAAGGCACCAUCACCAGCUUCUGAGUCAUCCUCUAGUAGUGACAGUGAGGAUGACAUAACUGGCCACUUAAAGAGACAGGAGCAAGGACAAACCAAUGUGGGAAGGCUUCCAAUUACAGCAUGGGAACCCAAAAUCAAAGCGCAAAAACCUGCCUCUGAAUCGUCUUCCAGUAGUGACAGUGAAGCUGAAAGGACAGGUCACAUGAAGAAACAGGAGCAAGGACAAACCAAUGUGGGAAGGCUUCCAAUUACAGCAUGGCAACCUAAAAUCAAAGUGCAGAAACCUGGCUCUGAAUCAUCUUCCAGUAGUGACAGUGAAGCUGAAAAAACAGGCCACACAAAGAAACAGGAGCAAGGGCAAACCAAUAUUGCAAGGCUUCCAAUAAAAGUAUCUCAAACUAAUGUCAAAGCACCAAGACCUGACUCGGAGUCAUCAUCUAGUAGUGACAGUGAAGCUGAAACAACAGGCCAAAUAAAGAAACAGGAGCAAGGACAGAUCAACACAGCAAGUCUUUUCACUAAAGUACCUCAUACUGCAAGUAAUGAGCCACAGACACGGUGGCCUCUCCUAGAUCUUGAGCACAAGACAAGCAUCAAGAGACGUCUAGAUAUCAAGGCACAAUCACCGGCUUCCAAGUCAUCAUCUAGUAGUGACAGUGAGGAUGAAACAACACAUCACACAAAGAAGGAGAGGCCAGAGUUGCUGGUAAUUGCAGGUCUUCCAUUUACAGUAUCUCAAACAGUAAGUCGUGAUCCAGAAAAACAGUGGCCAGAUGUAGAUCUUGGUAAUACCACUCGCAUCAAGAGACGUUUGGACAUCAAAGCCCCAUCAUCAACUCCUCAGGCAUUAGUAAGUAGUGGGAGGGAGGGGAAGAGAGAAGAAGCUAUCAAAAUUAGUUCCUCUUCCUCAUCAAGCAGCUCAGACGAGCAAGAGGAGGACAACAACCCCCCUCGAACAGCAGAACCAGAGCCACAUCCAGAUUCACGAUGGCCUCCACUGGGCCUUAGCAGUGCCCCCCAUGUCAAAAGACGCCUGGAUAUCAGGGCACGUUCACCUCCACCUGACUCUUCCAGCAGUAAUGAGAGUGAAGGUGGGACUUCAGAUCUACUUUUAAAAGUGGAAAGGGACAGGACUACUGUGGGAAUUACAAAUAAUCCACUCCAGACAAAAUUGCCAGACUUGAAUAUGAGUAUCCCCCUUGUCAAGAGACGCAUUGAUAUCAAAGCACCUUCACCACAACCAAAUCCCAUUCAGAGUCAUGUGUCUCAUGGAUCUCAACAAUCCAACUCUUCCACAAGUGAUAGUGAAGAUGAAAACCAUACUAGACUAGGACUGGGUGCAUCUACCAUAUCAAAGGCCACAGAAAAGAAGUUCAGUUGGUCUCCGAAGAUCCCAGUGUUACACACUUCUCGCAGUCCACAGACAGAACAUGAUAUCAAGUUAUCAAAGUAUACAGUAAUCACAGAUAGUGUGGGGGACAGAACAAGUGACAACAUUAACACAGCGCCAGUGGUAACCCCAGAAUUAGAGUCACGGUGGGCUUCGAUGAAUCUCGGCAUGUCCCGCUUCAGAAAGCGUCUUGAAAUCACAUCAAAUGAACCCCCAAAUCUGCCCCUGUCACCUCCACCUGACUCCCCCACCAGCAGAACUAGACGAAAGAGAUGGGGUGUAGGAAUCACACAAUCAUCUCUAACCCUAGAGAAGGCUUCUCCCAGUUUGAUGGGUCAAGAUGACAACUCAGUGGAGAAUAAAGAAAGAUUAAGAAAAGCCUACAGCCUCCCCGAAACUGAAGAAAAGUCAACCCCAGAAACAAUGUUGACUAGCUCUGGUAGUCCACAUUUGAAGAAGUACCUUGAUAUCAAGGUGAGUGGAAAGGCUGCACCACCAUUACGGCAAUGGUCUAAUUCCUCCUCCAGCAGCGAUAGCGAAGAUGCAUCAACAGAACAUGAAGGUAAAGGAGGGAGGGCAAGAUCUCAGCUGAAUGACACCAUAGACCACAGUUCGCUAGACCUAAGUCUCGGUGUCCAACGCACUAAUAGGAAUGUUAAUAUCAAGGCACCAUCAUCAAAAUCAAGUAGUUCCUCGUCUUCCUCAAGCGAAAACGAACACGAGGGAACAGGAUACACUGCAAAACAAAGCAGACAUCCAUCAGAUAUGUUAGAAGUAACAGAAAAUAGCUCUCUCAUCACUUAUAAACGUCAAAUUUUCAGUAGCCCGACUCCAGACCAUACAAACCAAAGACAAACAGGGGCUGAAAUAGUAAGUGUUGCACAAGGAGGACCUUUGCUUAGUGUGGGAUUCAGAGAUGAAUCUCUUGCUCCAAGGAGAGUACCCAGUAUGAACUUUGAUGAUAUAGUAAAGAAGAGGAUCGAGCAGUCCAGACACACCACAGAUGUGGACCUGCCGCCUGAGAUAAGGUGGACUGGCAUCGGCCGACAGCCAUCCGACCUUUCUAUCUCCAGUACGAGGAGAACUCUGGAUAUCAACUUAUCAACUCCAUCUGCACAGCCAGAACUUCCCCUCCUUGACACCUUCAACUACUCCAGCAAUAAAAGUGAUGAUGGGACACUAAGGUAUGAGUACUCAUCACUUAGUACAAAGAGUGUUCAUCUUGCAUCCAGCAGAGCUAUUGACAAGUUUGACAACUUACCUGACAGCUUAAAUAAAAUUUCGAGGGCUGUACCUGAGGACAGGAGACAAAGUAAAGGCCUCAGUGCUCUAAAAGCCAUGUCAUCAGAGAGACAAAAGUGGGACACACAAGCUGAAAAUUUAGAUAAGGGUGCAUCUACUCUAUUUGAUGACCCACAACUUGACCACAGUUUUUACAAUCGAAGACCCGAGAAGGACAUCAAGCCCCCUGAGAAAAGCGCAACAGAUUUGUUGUAUGUCAUUCCCCGGUACAGGAGGCAUGACAUUGGAGGUAUUGAACAACCGCAGGAAACGCCACCUCCUAUCCCUGCAACACCACCACCAGAUGAGACAGUAGAGCAUAAAUGGGGUUCUCCACAGAGCAGUAUGAAACAAGGGUUUGUAGGCACCAGAUCCUACCUUCAACAGAACAGAAACAGAGUGGAGCCUGACCCUUCUUUAAUUACAUCGCAAAGCCUGGCAGACUAUUUUGACCCCAUUAACUCAAACAUUAGUCAUGUUUAA
rnacentral:lncRNA from 1 species